CCUACGGGUGGCAGCAGUGGGGAAUAUUGCACAAUGGGGGAAACCCUGAUGCAGCGACGCCGCGUGAGUGAAGAAGUAUUUCGGUACGUAAAGCUCUAUCAGCAGGGAAGAAAAUGACGGUACCUGACUAAGAAGCACCGGCUAACUACGUGCCAGCAGCCGCGGUAAUACGUCGGGGGACAGGGUUAGCCGGAUUUACUGGGUGGAAAGGGAGCGUCGACGGCAGCGCAAGUCUGGAGUGAAAUCCCAUGGCUUAACCAUGGAACUGCUUUGGAUACUGUGCAGCUAGAGUGCAGUAGAGGUAAGCUGAAUUCCUAGUGUAGCGGUGAAAUGCGUAGAUAUUAGGAGGAACACCAGUGGCGAAGGCGGCUUACUGGACUGUAACUGACGUUGAGGCUCGAAAGCGUGGGGAGCAAACAGGAUUAGAUAUCCCAGUAGUC
rnacentral:rRNA from 1 species